AGCGAACGCUGGCGGCAGGCCUAACACAUGCAAGUCGAACGAAGUCUUCGGACUUAGUGGCGGACGGGUGAGUAACACGUGGGAACGUGCCUUUAGGUUCGGAAUAACUCAGGGAAACUUGUGCUAAUACCGAAUGUGCCCCUCGGGGGAAAGAUUUAUCGCCUUUAGAGCGGCCCGCGUCUGAUUAGCUAGUUGGUGAGGUAAAGGCUCACCAAGGCUACGAUCAGUAGCUGGUCUGAGAGGAUGACCAGCCACAUUGGGACUGAGACACGGCCCAAACUCCUACGGGAGGCAGCAGUGGGGAAUCUUGCGCAAUGGGCGAAAGCCUGUCGCAGCCAUGCCGCAUGGAUGAUGAAGGUCUUAGGAUUGUAAAAUCCUUUCACCGGUGAAGAUAAUGACUGUAGCCGGAGAAGAAGCCCCGGCUAACUUCGUGCCAGCCGCCGCAGUAAUAC
rnacentral:rRNA from 1 species